rnacentral:lncRNA from 1 species
UUAAUCAAGUUUGGGGGGAUUUCUGAUGUAACAUGUUACAAAUGAAGAACAUAGCAAAAAGAGUGCAGAGACCACCAUUUUCCGGAAACAACUAGCGUGAGCAUUAACUGACACUCAAAUGACGUGACAGGUGUUAGUAGUAACAAAAAUAUCCAAACAUACUCCUUCAUUUUCUUUGUGAUGAAAUCUCACCAAACUGUAAAUAUCCGAAAAUGAAGAUCACCUCAGAAUGAAGGGAAAACAGUAAGGACAAGAUGAACAAAAAUCAGGAUAAAGAAGAUAGACUUCGUGUUUGGCUCACUUUUAAUGAGAUCUUCUCAUUAUCUACUAUGCAAGUAUGUAUGAGGAUAUUUUUUAAAUACACUUAUAUUUAUAGGUUUCAAAUAUUUCCUUUUCUUAGUCCUUGUAUUAGUCCACUUACAUGCUGCUGAUAAAUACUACCCAAGACUGGGAAGAAAAAGAGGUUUAAUUGGACAUGGCUGGGGAGGCCUCAGAAUCGUGGCCGGAGGAGAAAGGCACUUCUUACAUGGCAGCAGCAAGAGAAAAUUAGGAAGAAGCAGAAGUGGAAACCCCUGAUAAACCCAUCAGAUCUCCUG